GCUCCAAUAGCGUAUAUUUAAGUUGUUGCAGUUAAAAAGCUCGUAGUUGGAUUUCGGGUGUGAACGGCCGGUCCGUCUUUGAUGUGUACUGGUUGGUUGCGCCUUAUUGUCGAGGACAUGUUCUGGCUUUCAUUAGCUGGACAUGGAGUCGGCAGCGUUACUUUGAGAAAAUUAGAGUGUUCAAAGCAGGCUAUCGCUCU
rnacentral:rRNA from 1 species